UACGGGGGGGGGCAAGCGUUGUUCGGAAUUACUGGGCGUAAAGGGCUCGUAGGCGGCCAACUAAGUCAGACGUGAAAAUCCCUCGGCUUAACCGGGGAACUGCAUCUGAUACUGGAUGGCUUGAGUUCGGGAGAGGGAUGCGGAAUUCCAGGUGUAGCGGUGAAAUGCGUAGAUAUCUGGAGGAACACCGGUGGCGAAGGCGGCAUCCUGGACCGGUAUUGACGCUGAGGAGCGAAAGCCAGGGGAGCAAAGCGGG
rnacentral:rRNA from 1 species